UGAUCUGCAAGUGGGAUAUAUUACAUAUGAUUCGAAAACAGGUCUAGGGAGUUAUUAGUACUUUAUACUCACUCAUUGAGUUUGUCAGAGGAAUAUGGAUAUAUGAAGGACGGGACUAUAUCAGAUCUGUAGUUUGUUAUUCUAAAUAUAACCUAGCUCUUGAUCAUGACUCUCAGUUCCUUUACAUUACACAUACGAAUCAGUGGACGAAGGCGUCUUCUGUACGGGGAGUUUUGUUAAGAGCGCUGAUGCUCGGGUUGAACAUUACCACGCAUCACUUGAGUUACGUUUUUGGAAGCAUAAAGACCUUAUCUUUCAUAUGAGCGAGAAAUCAUUUUCAAGAAACAAAAGGUUAAAUUGAUAAACAUCUUUAUAGGGUUUGGGUUCCCAGACGGUCAUAUUUCCAUGCUGAAGCGCUUGUUUACGGAAAAAAGACAGGAUGGGCUACCUGCGCUAACUAGCUAUCUGCGUCUUCGAACACCGGUGUAAACGGAAGAUAGAUGCCACAAAAAUGUUGUAACUGAAAAUUACAGCCGACUGCUACUGUGUUAAAACCGGUUUAAACAGUGUACAAUGCCGCUCCUGUGGGAGAAAUCAAUAGGAAAAUAUCACAGCCAAUCACAACACUGUUGGAUGGCCAAGGAAGUUGCACAGAACUUCCCCAACAUCCCCUCCCACAUUGAUAUGGAACUUUGAAAAACACAUGGAGCAACUGCGAAAAGAAACGGCCGAGGAUAUACUAAAAAUGCAUGUUCAACAAAGCCAACAACUGCUUCAUGUGUGCCACUGAUAAAGAACCUGGAUGUGGCCCAAAGACUGACUGGGUUAGUAACUUUAACAUGUUUAUAAUCUUUUGACAACAGUGACGGCAUGUAAGACAAUUUAUGAUAUAACACAAUGGAUGGCUAAUUUGUAAUUCGUCAUACGGCAUUCAUAUUUGAUAUUAUUUAUAACGUGUUACACUUUGUUUUGAUCGAAUGUUUGGCAUGCCAACGGUGGUUCCAUGUGCUGUGCCUAGGAAUGAAGACAAGAGUUCAACAGAGUAAAGAACACAAACUGGAAGUGCAGUCUUUGUUGUUGAAAAUGUAUGCUAUACCCCAUCCACACUGAAGAGGCUCUGAAAUGUACAUCAACCAGGGAUAAAGAGAAAGUUAACACUAAUGUUUCAUACUUAAUUGAAGUUAAUUGUCUGUUGGAAAAGAUUAAAGGUCUACAAAUUGUUGAAUUUGUCAACAUUACACUUUUAUUCAUUGAUUUUCUGGUCACCAUUACUGUGGUUACAUGUUCAGUAUAUGUAUUGACCAGCAAACCCACCGCAGCCUACCUCACUCUCCAUCCCCGUUUUGGAGAAAUAAUAGCAUGACUGUCAUACUUUGCCCUUUUCCUUUAUGGUUGAUAUUAACAACGAAAGGAGAUAUGUCUCUCUCCUACUGUGUACCAGUUAAAUACUGUGGAAAAAUAA